rnacentral:rRNA from 1 species
UACGGAGGGUGCGAGCGUUGUCCGGAAUCAUUGGGCGUAAAGGGCGCGUAGGUGGCCACUUCAAGCGUGCGGUGAAAGUCGGGGGCUCAACCCCUGAUCGGCCGUGCGAACUGGGGGGCUGGAGCACUGUAGAGGCAGGCGGAAUUCCGGGUGUAGCGGUGGAAUGCGUAGAGAUCGGGAGGAACACCAGUGGCGAAGGCGGUUGCCUGGGGCUUUGCUGACGCUGAUGCGCGAAAGCGUGGGGAGCGAUCCGG